AUUGAACGCUGGCGGCAUGCCUUACACAUGCAAGUCGAACGGCAGCAUGGAAGAGCUUGCUCUUCUGAUGGCGAGUGGCGAACGGGUGAGUAAAGCAUCGGAACGUACCGUGUAGUGGGGGAUAACGUAGCGAAAGUUACGCUAAUACCGCAUACGCACUGAGGUGGAAAGCAGGGGAUCGCAAGACCUUGCGCUAUACGAGCGGCCGAUGUCAGAUUAGCUAGUUGGUAGGGUAAAGGCCUACCAAGGCGACGAUCUGUAGCGGGUCUGAGAGGAUGAUCCGCCACACUGGGACUGAGACACGGCCCAGACGCCUACGGGAGGCAGCAGUGGGAAAUUUUGGACAAUGGGGGAAACCCUGAUCCAGCCAUGCCGCGUGAGUGAAGAAGGCCUUCGGGUUGUAAAGCGCUUUCGGCUGGGAAGAAAUCGCACAGGCUAAUACUCUGUGUGGAUGACGGUACCAGCAUAAGAAGCACCGGCUAACUACGUGCCAGCCGCCGCAGUAA
rnacentral:rRNA from 1 species